GACGUAGGAGGCGAGCGUUAUCCGGAUUUACUGGGCGUAAAGCGCACGCAGGCGGCUUCGUUAGUCGGAUGUGAAAGCUCCUGGCUUAACUGGGAGAGGCCAUUCGAUGCUGCGGGGCUGGAGGUUGGGAGAGGGGUGUGGAAUUCCUGGUGUAGUGGUGGAAUGCGUAGAUAUCAGGAGGAACACCUGUGGCGAAAGCGACACCCUGGCCCACACCUGACGCUGAGGUGCGAAAGCGUGGGGAGCAAACACG
rnacentral:rRNA from 1 species